AGAUUGAUUCAAAACUGCUGGAGUGCAGGAGGGAAGGCAGCCUAUGAAGUAGCUAACUGAAGUUAUUUGGAAGCCAGGAGCUUAAUUUCAUGCAUAGGACUUAAUAAAUAAGAAGAUGUAGUCAUGAUUUACUGUAAAACCAAAGAACCACUGAAUCAUGAGCCAGCAGAACUAUUUUCCAGAGCUUUAAAUAUUUCAUCUUCUUGCCUGGAUACUGGAUUUUCAGUAAGUAUGCAGUCAUGCAGUCCUCUGUAUUUCAGAAAGAUUAUGUUCUACAGAAAAAUCUAUCUGACUUUCUAUGAUUUUGAACGUGGAAAUUACUUUCCUUUAGUAUUUUAUUUAUAGGGCUUCCUCUUAACAAUUAGUCCUAUGAAGAAAAACAAAGCAAUUGAAACAAAGUGACUGAUUCUGCUGAUGUGUUGUGUACUGAAAUGUCAGAUCUGCCUUCUGAGAUGCAGUGUAAUUAAUAGGAGACCAGAGACGUGGAGUCCGUAAAAUAACCCUGAAGAUAAAAUGUUGUGAAAAAGAGAAUAAGCAUGGGGGAAAAAAAUAAAUAAAUCCAUAAAUACUGGAGAAAAGCUCAACAUUAACCAAAGAUACCAUGUUAGUAUACAGGACAGUUGUUCUAAGUAAUGCAGACAGAAUUCAUUUCACAUCCUUUUCUUCUUUGCCUCACCUCAUACAGCAGUGGCUAAGAAUAUACAGGAGAGCUCCGUUUGUUCACUGUUGUUCAUGAUCAUGACAAUGAAAGAGUUCACUUCCUGCCAACUGAUUCUACUCUGGAAGCACAACAGUAAAAAAUAGUUUAAGGGAGGAAAGAAAUGUUCUGAAGAGGUUGCUAGAGUAAUAGAAUCAUGAGAUAAAUAAAAAACCCUCGAGUCAAGAAUUUCCCUUCUGUUAUUUUAAAGAGGAAAUGGUAUUUUUAGCCUCCUACUUGAAAGACAGAACAGUUGACAAACUCAGAAAAAUUCACUCUUACCUGGUAAACAACCAGCAGUAUAGCAGUUUUAUUGCAUAGGACUUUAAUGACUGUAUUAGCCAUUAUUAAAUAGGUUUAGUUAUUUCAGCUCCUCAAGUUCAUGGUACCAGUGCUUACUAUAUCAUUCCUUUUUAACGCAGGCUUUUGUUCUAAGACAUUAUCCAUGUCUCCAUGCCCCAUCCCUGGAGGUGUUGAAGGCCAGGUUGGAUAGAUUUCUGGGCAGCCUAAUCUAGUGGGUGAAAACCCUGCCCCUAGCAGGGGUUGGAACUGGAUGGGCUUUAAGGUUUUUUUCCAACCCAGCCAUUCUAUAAUGCUAUGAUUCCAUGACUCCCUCCAAAACCUUGCAGCUUCUACCAUACAUUUCUACACUUUAACUGUGCCACAUGUGAAGGGGAAAAAAAGAAAAAAAAGAAAAAACAAACAAACAAACAAAAAAAACACUUCCAGUCUGGUUGGACAAGAUAUACUUUCUUUAUUCCUUGCUAUUAUCUAUAUGGAAAAGAUAUCAGUGAAGCAGUGAAGUAAAAUUGUCUCAGUGUCACUGAGCACAUAUUAGUUACUUUCAGUAAACCCUUAAGGGGGCUGAAUCCCUUAAGUCUAUUUGUAAACUCAUACUGAUGCACAAAACAUACAAAAUGAACACAUUUCCCAUUUGGAUGGUAUGCAAGCACUUCAGGAGCAACAGCAACUUCCUUUCCCUUUCCAAACAGUUGGCAGAUUGCAUCAGGUGAAGUUUAUUCGAAAACCACCAAAGUGACUUCACAGCACGUGUACCACUGAAAGGGAAUUAAUUCUAUACUUUUAUUCCACACAGGCACAUUUAAAAAUCUCAACUCUGAUAAAACUUCACAGAAAAAUGUGUCUGAUUAUGACUUCUAUUCCUCAUAUUAUACAUUCAGAUACUGUCUUGUGCUGUAAGCUCCUCAUAGCUCUAUGGUAUUUAUAUUUCUCCUUUAAAGUCACACUGCCACCUACAUAGAUAGGAAUCUGUAUGUCUUGGCUGGGUGUUUCAAAAUCUCAUCUGCGAUCUAGGAAUUCUGUUUGUUUGAGAUUGCUGGGGGUUGGGAGUUGGGUUGUUUUGGUUUCAGGUUUUAUUUUUCAUAUGCUAUUAACCAGAAUAGCUCACAGAGAAAAUAAUGAAAUUAUUUAUUCCUCAUAGACAGGUAUUUGUUUUAUUUUUCAUCUGGGCUGUAGGUAGCUGGGAUUUAUGUUUCUUCUCUAAGCUAUGCCGCUGAGACUUGAAGAUAGGGCUCUGCUUUGUCCCAUUGUCUGCUGUAUUGGAUAUCUAAAGAUGUCAGGAAAGUCUUUGCCUGCCUCCCAGAAGAAAGAACUGGCCAAAAGUACUUAAUUCUAAAAAGUUCAUAGCUGACAAUUUGGUAACAGAGGGAUUUCCAGUGGGAAAUCAUUGCCUUCCAGUGUUCUGGAAUAUGAUGUCUGAUUACAAUCAGCUCUCAAGGCCCCUUCUUUAAUUUCAGCUUCCCUGCGCAACAACCCUGCUCAAGUGGCAGAUUCCUGUUCAUAUAUAUUUUUAAAGAUUAUCUCAUUAAUGUGGUCAGGGAACGUUUGUUGAUUUGCAGGAAUGUGAGGGUGAAGUUUAUUCUUUGAAAGAAUCUACUGAAAUCAUGGGCCUAUGGCUCCAUACUUACCAUAAGCUUGUUUUCUUUGCAGAAGUAUCAAAUACCCAGAAUUUCUAAAUGGUUGCUUCUAAUUUGUUACUUCUUAUUUACAGUUUUAGCCCCAAACAUAGAAGGCCAGAUUUUCAGUGUAUCAGUGAACAAUAUUUUAACAUUUGGCAGAACUCAAAAAUCUAUUACAGAAGAGAGACCUAGACUCCUCAGAGAAUGUUGAGAGGUGAACUCAG